CCUCAUUAAAGAACAUCCACUACAUUAAUCAUUCAAUAGUCACUGAAAUAUGUCAAGAUUAACAGUAUAAAAGUACAGGUGGAAUACAGAAUCAAACAGAAAUUACUGUUUUACUUGAGACCCUCUGUACAUCAGAUGAAAGCUGAGGGAGAUAAAAAUAUAGGUGCAACUAGCAUGCUAGCUUUUGCUGCCAAUUAUGAUCAAACUACCAAAUCCUUUUGCUGUUUAUGCUUCACUAGACUGCUUCUGUUUCUGAAAGAAACAAGCCGUGUCCAAGCUGCUGAACUGAACUUAUCUAGAAAGCUUGAAAUCAGAGCUUUCCAACAUGUGCCUUUACAGUUAACAUCCACCACAAAAUUAGUACUUUCUUUAAGAACAUGUGUUUUAAAGUGGGAGUAUCUUUGGAACCUUUGGGUAGGUAUUUUUAGAAUCAAAACCAAACAGAAUUUGGACACUCAAAGCACUGCCUGUAUUCUGUGUUGGUGUAGCAGCCAGUAGAACAGGUCUUGGUUGACAACCAAAGCUCCUGUAAACUGACAUGAUGUUUGUAUUUUAAAGAAAACUAACUCCUGUACUGUCAUCUACUGCUGUAGGAAUUAUGUGCUUCAGAGGAUCCUGCAUUUUACACAACUCCAGAUUAUGUCCUUUUUGGAGCAAAUGGAACCCGUUCAUUUACCAGUACUUUAAAUACAAGGUGCUAUUUAGAAAAGACCCAAUGCUGGACUCCCUUUCCUUUGGGACCUGCAACACAGCUCCAUGUUUCUAUUAAGCAGUUGCUGGAGUAUUCUUGAAUAGAAUUGGAAUGUGAGAGCAAGUCCAGUGUUAAUUGUAAACAUGGCAUGAAUUCAGUGACUAAGGGCAGCAGACCAGGUCCAAAAGUUAUCAGUUUGCAUUUGACCUUAAAUAUUGGCCUUCCACAAGUAUGUCUAUUUAACAGGUUUGUCCCCUACUGGUGUAUCUUAUUCUUUGUGCAGUCAUUUAUAUCAGCACACAGAGAUGAGAAGAUUUAUCUGGAUCAGAGUGGUAACAUGUACUCACUUAACCCUUCUGUCCUACAUAUUCAUCAGUCCUUUUCCUUCUCUUGUUCUCAGAUUACAUCUAAGAUGACAUUUCGGACAAGAGAGCAGAAGAAAAGAUCAUUAUUCUCUGCAGCACAAGGGCCAGAUUUUCCAUUGCUUUCCACCGUGCCAGGGAAAGACAGUUGGCUUCCCUGUGGCUCAAGAGGAGCACAGAGCAGCCCAAGUGCUUUGUGCCCCUCUUUGAGCCAGCUCCAAGGACAGCAGGAGAUGAGGUGGGAGGUCAGGUGUAUGGCUCAUAAUCUGUAACCUAAACAAAUGCCAUCAGCUGGGCUGCAUCACGUACAUGUGCCCUCUGAAUGCCAAAAACUCAGUAAGCACACAGAAACUUUUUCAGGACGCCUGAGCUGUAGGAGACAGUUUUCUCUCGGCCAUUCACAGAAAGGGACACAGCCUUGAGUUGAUCUGCUUGGUUCAGCAGCAUUAGCAGGCUCCCUUACUACACAAGAGCUCAUCUCAUUACCCAAAAGCUCAUCUCCCUUGCAAGCAACAAUAAAAUUCCUUGAAUGCCAAAAAAACUAACUCUUGCUCUUUCUUGCCCAGGCAGUGCCUAGUAGUGUCUUUGAAUCCAAGUACAGUUUUAGCAAAGUAAUUGAAGUGAUAAAUCAGGUAAAAUCUACAGCAGAGUGACAUGGGGAUCAUGUUGAUUGUUACUGAACUGAAUUGCAGCAAACAGGAAAACAGCAAGCAGACCUGCUCUUUCACCCCACACUGCAGGUAAAGAAGAACCCAAGCCAUAUUUGACUAGCAGGAACUUCUACAGCAAAAUUUAAAACCUAAUGUAAUUGUAUUCUUGGAAUGCUCUUCACACCAGUGUUGCAGUGCCAGAGGGAGGCAAAGAGAAGUUUUCGAUUUAUGUUUGAAAUUAUGAAAAAUCUCAACCAACAUUAAGGGUGAGAUUUGAAGUAUUUAAAGAAUAUAGAGUUUGUAUGCAGUGCUCCCCUGUGAUGCCUGACACCCCAGAUGGGAAUCCUAAGGCUUAGGCAGGAUCAGUCAAAUGCUUCUCCUGACAAAACUGUUCCAAAACUCUGUUUCUGUUUUUCUGACCUGUGUUCUCAUGUAAUGAUAAUUUGCAAGCUGUGGGUAUUCAGCUUCAUUGAAGAGACAAAUAAAAAGCUUUCUGCUUAAACAAAACAGUAACAGUUUGAGCAGUUGGGAGGAAGAACUCACGCCUCAUCUCUUCUCUGCAGAACACAGCCUUACUUCUCAUACUCUAUUUUGAGCCAUUUCAGCAUCAGUGUAUGCCUUGGUUUUGACCUAUUAUGGGAGGCUACUACACAUGAUCUGUGCACUCAACAUAUUUCACCAUUUUAAUGAGCUAAUACGCAUUGUUAUCAACAGCAUAUUUCUUGUUUUAAUACCUCGAUCCUGACAGUCUGAAGUAUGUCUUUAAUAGCUCAGAAACAGUCCUGCUGUGAGGGGAAUGAGGCAGUGCAAAGCAAGCCUGAAAGCUUGUUCCAGCUCACCAGCACCUCGUGCCAGCAGAGCACUGCAGGCUGAGUGACAUGCAGGGCUUGGUUUCAGACAGGUGGCAGAGCUGGGAAGGCAGAAAUCUUCCAGGCAUAACUCCCAUUAACCUCUGUACCCGUUUCCAAAGGGAACUGUCAUUUCCCUGUUGGUAAGUUUUCAUCCGGGCUGCUGCUGACAAGCCAUCAAAGCAUUUAGCCAAUCCUGCUCAUAGCACCAGUUGUACAGUCGCAGGGGAGAGGACAGGAGCUAGACCUGAGAAGGCUUUUGGCCUCCUGCUGUGCUUAGAUUAUGAUUUAAUGCUAAAAAGUUGGCAUGGCAACCAAAUGCUUGGCAACAAAAGGCCAAGGAAUGGGUCCAGAAGAGGGCCAAGCAAAAAGCACUGCCCAGCUCUUCCGCGGGCAGAUCUGUGCCCUGCAUACCCAUCUUGUCAGCGCUUCUGUAGCAGCCAGGGUUACAGCAGAAGGCAUUAUUAAUAAGCUAGGCAGGUCUGCAAUAAGUGAAUAGCAAAUUUCUCCAAAACACUUGAAAUGGACCCUGGCGCCUCAUUCAGGCUCCUAUUGCUCCGUCCACGAAUUGCCACACGUUGCCAGGAGACAGUCUUGCUCCACAGGAGGACUCGCCACUGGCUGCCAUUGUGCUGUCUCUCUGUCCCCCUCCUCCCCUGUCCUGCUCUUGCUCUCUCCAAUAACAGAAGCCUGGCAGUGCUCUGUUUCUCAGUUCUGACACAAUAACUUAUUUUAAUUUGAAAGUUUUCAAAAGCUUUUUGGUUUCUCUGCAGUGAAUAACUGAGCAAAAUUCCCAGUCUGCACAACUCUGGGCUUGCGACACGCAGGCUGGAAAAGGGAUGCAAGUGCCUUAGAGGGUAGGGCUGGUCUAAACAGGGAUUAGUGACCACUUUUUUGCUGCGUGAGCACCUUGGUUGUGUCUCUUGAAGUCCAAGAUAUUAAGUUUGGGCACCUGGUUAGGAUACACAAGUAACAUUUAGUCUCACUUGUGCUGGGCACUUUCUGUAGUCCAUUAAAGCAUGCCCUUGGCUAUUUAGAUGUUCCCAGGCUGUUUUAGAUCAUACAGGGCCUCAGAAACCUCUCUUGCCUUUGGAUAUUGGCAAGCUUAGUCCCAUGCACAUCAGAAAAGAAGCCAUUUAUUCUUCAGCCUUCCUGAGGCACUUCCCUUAUACCCCUAAGGAAACCUUUUAAGUAUAGACUCAGUGCGGGCCGAUACAGCGUCACCUUCCGAAGUCUGUUGGUGCCAGUGCCAAUCUCUUGCGUUGGAGAGUUGGGCUGCUAAUCACAUAAGUGAAGUUAAAGGUUAAUCAGUUCCAGGGUUGGUGUGCCAAAUACUGUGAGCCAAGGAUCAGUUUAUGCUGCCAUUUGGCAUCAUCUUCCAUGGUCAGAACAAACUGAAAGGUGGCUGUUGAGGAGGAGGCUGCUGUUGUGACAGAGACCUCGGCACUGAAAGGCUCCAACACAACACUGUGGUCAGGGUGUAACUGGAGAACACAGUACUUCAGCUUCCUCGAGGACCUUGGAAAGCAGACAGAAAAUGAGCAGGGAUUGUAAUGUGCUCUUUGCAGGGACUUAAUGACACAGCCUGUCCCUGUGCCUGUGGGGAGGGCAAUUCCUUUGCCUGUUAUUCUCAAUGCUGCAUCCAGACUGAAGCAUCAUCCUGUCUCUACUUGGAUAAGAAAUACUUCACUGUCUGCAAGUAAAUUAAACUGAGUGUCCACUUUUUGUCACUCCAAUACUUCUUUUCCUAAUUCCAGCAUUCCUUUUCUCUGUCUGAUACUUCACCAUCUCUCCACUUUUCCCUCCCUAAUGUCAGAGAUUUCCAAAUGCUCUUAAACAGACACGUAUCAGCUCUUUCCCUCCAUAUCAUGUAACACAAACUGACACAAAGAAAAUAACUUUAAUUAAGUGGACAGGCUAAUUAUUCAUUUCACCAGGAUUUCAAUUUUCUGUUUCCAAUUCACUCUGGCACCAUGGCACAUUCCCCUCAUUCUUCCUUCCCAUCACUAGGAGCAGUGACAAAUGUGUUACAUCUUGUUGCUCUUCUGAGACUCCGCAGUUGAAAAGAACAUUGGAAAAUGAAGCAUCAACCUCACUGUUUCCAGCUUUCACAAUCUGAACAGAGGAGGCUGUCUCGUGAUCCAAGAGCACAGGAGUGGAUUGCCUAUCAGCAAUGCCAGCUCCAAGCCUUGCUAGUUGAAGAUAAAUAGUUGAGAUGUUCCCUUGUACAAAAUGGGAGGGGAAUUUCAGACUACUCAGGCAGCAGGGUGACUCUCCAGGGUGCCAGGUGAUGCAGUGCAGCUGACCAGUGUUGUGGUGCACUUAAAGCUGCUCAUUUCACCCUCUCUCACUAUGCAGUCCUAAUGACCCUGUUAGGAAACCAAAUUAGCUGUGCUUAUAACCCUCACUUACAGCUGAUUUGUUUGUAGAGCUCCAUGAGAUAAUUGUAGCUUCCUCUGGUUCAUGUGAACUUACUUCCCAACUCUAUUUUUAUGAGCAUGUGGCACUACAUACUGAAAUCUUUCAGACACACCAGAGACAGACCAUGGGCCUGGCACAGACAAACUGCAGGUCCCCCAGUGUGUGGAAGGGUUAUGUUUGCCUGUCACUGCCUGCCCAUCCUUCUCCUUUUGUCUUUGAUUAAAGAUACAAGCCACACACUGACCGGCACGUGGACAGCCAGCAAAGUAAGUGCAAGGAGGUUCACAAGCACACACACAUACAGCUGAGGCUUUGUUCCAGUCCUGUUUACUCGCAGGGCAAACAGUUGAGCAUUGUUUCUGUUUGACAAAUUGUAACUGUCCAGCAAGGAGAGAUCUAGUUCCAGCUGGUUAGAGCUGCUUGCAUGUCUUACCUCCUCCCUCUCCCUAUUCCAUAACUCAUGAAUCCAUCUUACCUAGGGACAGAAAGAACAAGUACAACUACUUGUUAGAUUCCUUCCCACUUUGAAUUGACACUGACCUCAUCAGGGUCCCUACUCCAGCGUGGCUCAAAAGGUGAACCCAGACCUGCAGGUGUCCCAAAGGCCUUAGGGUCCUGCACUUGUGUUAUAAUGAGGAGCAGUUUAGAGUGACCCUUUCCUAAUCCCCACCAAGUGCUCUCAGCUUGUCAGGCACUGGAGAACAGCAGACACUUGAUAGUGUUGGGGCACAGCCACAGGAAUCUCUGUGUAACCCAAUUACUUCUUUGCCUUGUGUAGCACCUGAUGCAGCAGAGACUGAUCGUCCAGCACUAAAUGUCAUGUACGACUCUUGAUCCCAGUCUCAGAAAAUGAGUAUCAGAGCACUCUAUUGUCAGAACAAAGCCGCUCAUUUUCUGUUGGACAAAGUAGGGCCAGAGUGCCACUAAGUGCUGGAUUUACAUCCUCUUUCCAUCAAAUAAUUUAUGUAACCUUUUUCAAGACAACUUACUACUUUAGAAGGACAUUGAGGUUCUAGAAAUGCAAAACCAAACUGAAAUUCCUGGCUUAGUGAGACUCAAAGUGUUACUCCUAAAGACAUCAGUGUCAUAUGAACUCCAUACAAAGAGGUGCUUGCUAGCUUCACUGUUCAGUCAGAAAGGUGGAUUCAGAAACUCUAGCAUUUUCCAAUUUAUCCUACUUAUGUAGUGCUUCAUAACUUUCUGUUUCAGUUUUUCCCUUCUGUAAUUAAAGGCCAGUGUUCUUUACCUAGUGCUGAAAUGCCUCUGAAUAGACACACACAGAGAGGGAAGUCUUUGAGAGCAUAAUUUAAAGCUAAAUUGUCCCAUCAUCCAGGACCCUGACCUCUGGCUCCUGACCAAACAGUAGGCCUGGAUACUGAGUGCACAGUUCAUGUGUAUAUAGUUUGUGCUUGUAUAUGUAGUUAAAGCAGUCCAAGUACUAUACAAUGUGUCGCAAAAUUCAAAUGUAAUAAACAAAACAUAAGCCCCAAAGUUCUUUAUUUGUUUAUCCCACCAUCAGUACACAAACCAAGGCUGAGUGCACUGUUAACAGUUCUGCUGUAUUGCAUUUAAUGGGCUGCUUUAAGUUUCUUUGCAUGCCAGCCUUGUGUUCAAGAACACUGAUUUGCCAUUUAGAAGGGGAAAUUAUUCUUGGGCCCUGUGAGGGAAGGCAUGCCCAGCUUUGUAUGAGCAGAUCUCAUGAUUGCCCCUCUCGCUUGUUCCUCCAGUUGCUAAGAAUUCUGUAGAUAAACUUCACUUUAUCUGGAGGGAGGAAGUUGCUGCUGGAUGCAGUCAGGAAGGACAGCAGCCUAUUGCACACAGCAAUAGCUUUAGAGGAACAGUCAUUUUCCCAUGCAGAUGGGCAAACAAGGCAGUUAACCACCCGUGUGCCAUGCCACCCAUUCGGCCUGUACCGCUCCACAAACUGGAAGGAAAGCCUUUUCCCUUAUCAUUUAAAGGGGGGAAGUUAAAUUAGUGAUGCUCAUUGGUAGCCUGAGCUGACAGAAAUAGAAAUAAUAAAAUUAGAGGCUGUGAGGCAGGGACUCCGUACCUUGUACUGCAAAGGAAUCAAGCCUUUGCCUCUGCUCUCAGCUCCCCAUAUAACCAUAACUUGUUGGGCUUAGUGAUUUGCCAAGAACACAGUGCCCAGGAGGACAGAUAGCUGCUGGUCCAGUUCAGCUGCCAAGAGUCAAGGCAGCUGGAGAAAGCACUGUAUGCUCAGGACUCGAUCACACUUAAGAGUCACUUGGGCUUUCUUUGGUGGGCACUUGGAAGAUGAAGCUGAUCUGAAAGAAUGCAGACAGCCAGGACAUUCUCUUUUCACAUGGGCUCUGCUCAGUCAUCCUUUCUUUUGCUCAAGUAGGAAGUCUGAGGGCAAGUGAUAGCAUCUUCCAUAUCGGGCUGCCAAGCCCUCUAUAUUUGUCAAAAUUCUACUUUUGACAGAUGGCUUCUGCAUCAGUAAAGCUCACAGUGACCAUCUCUAGGCUCAGAUUAAGUGGCAACAUCACCAAGCUACAAAGGUAAAAAGUAUCUCCUAGUUUCAGCGGCUAAGCAGCUGAAUU
rnacentral:lncRNA from 1 species